CGUGUCAAAGCGGAGGCUUCCCGCAGAGUGCGCUCUGCGCAUGUGCAAUGCCCUUUCCUUUCUGUCUGGGCGGCUUUGUCUCACGCCGCAGGGGGUUGAAGACUCCGGCGCUACCAGGUCCCCGCAGCGGAGCUGAGGGCGGGGCCGGGGCUCAGAGUGGCCUGGGAUCAGAGACAGAUCCCUUGCAGGAGAUUCCUGGAGCUGUAACAUAUGGUCUCUUAUGACUUUUCUCUUACAACUUUCCCUGCUCGGGCUUUAUAGUUUCUACCCUUUCCCAAGAGCAGCAGAAAAUGAACAAGUUCAAGGUGAGUCAUUUAUUUAGCCUUUGUUUCACUUUGUGUAUGUGUGUUUAAUGUGUGUAUGUGUUUUUUUUUUAACUUGACUUGAAUCUAUAUUUGUUCUUUUUU
rnacentral:lncRNA from 1 species